rnacentral:rRNA from 1 species
GCGAACUCUGUGACUGUAGGGGCGGUAAGACAGAUACGUGCAGCGUUGUUCGGGUUAACUGGGCGGAAAGGGUGCGCAGGCGGCCGAGUGUGUGAGGCGUGAAAGCCCGGGGCUUAACCCCGGAAUUGCACCUCAAACUACACGGCUAGAGCAUUGGAGAGGGUAGCAGAAUUCAUGGUGUAGCAGUGAAAUGCGUAGAUAUCAUGAGGAAUACCAGAGGCGAAGGCGGCUACCUGGACAAUUGCUGACGCUCAGGCACGAAAGCGUGGGGAGCAAAAGGGAUUAGAUACCCGGGUAGUC